CGACACAAUGUUGAAAUAUAUAAUUUUAGCGAUCAAUGAAAUAUAUAUAACAUUCUAGGUUUCAACAUUGUCUUCAAAGGAUUUCCGGUUCGACUUUAGGUCGAACGCUUCCUACGUCCGUCGCUAGAUGGCUCAACUUAUCCUCCAAACCCCUACUUGCCCCUACCAACCCCAAUAACGACCCUCCCUCCUGUGAACAGCUGUUCUUCACCGCCAUGGCGCACGCGACUUCGUGGCAUCAAAAACGCUCUCAACGUUUUCGACUUUACCGGUUCGAAACGGUGUUUACGUGUCCCGCGUUAUUGCAUUUCGCGUCACAUUUUCGGUCAUAGAACAAUUCUCGUGUAGAAUGAGUGCGGGAAAAAAGUGUUCGUGUGUUGUGUCAAAGUGAGAACUUUAGGUUUUUCCAUUCGCAAGGUUCACCGGUUCGUCACAUCUGAGAGACUGCAUGGCCUGAGGACUCCACAGAGGAAGCGAGAGCCGAGCGUCGCGAUGGGGUGAAAAGG